UGGGGAAUAUUGCACAAUGGGCGCAAGCCUGAUGCAGCCAUGCCGCGUGUAUGAAGAAGGCCUUCGGGUUGUAAAGUACUUUCAGUCGGGAGGAAGGUGGUAAGGUUAAUAACCUUAUCAAUUGACGUUACCGACAGAAGAAGCACCGGCUAACUCCGUGCCAGCAGCCGCGGUAAUACGGAGGGUGCAAGCGUUAAUCGGAAUUACUGGGCGUAAAGCGCACGCAGGCGGCUGAUUGAGUCAGAUGUGAAAUCCCCGGGCUUAACCCGGGAAUUGCAUCUGAUACUGGUCAGCUAGAGUCUUGUAGAGGGGGGUAGAAUUCCAUGUGUAGCGGUGAAAUGCGUAGAGAUGUGGAGGAAUACCGGUGGCGAAGGCGGCCCCCUGGACAAAGACUGACGCUCAGGUGCGAAAGCGUGGGGAGCAAACAGG
rnacentral:rRNA from 1 species